UACGUAGGGUGCGAGCGUUAAUCGGAAUUACUGGGCGUAAAGUGUGCGCAGGCGGCCGAGCAAGUCGAGUGUGAAAGCCCCGGGCUUAACCUGGGAACUGCGCUCGAAACUACUUGGCUUGAGUGUGGCAGAGGGAGGUGGAAUUCCACGUGUAGCGGUGAAAUGCGUAGAGAUGUGGAGGAACACCGAUGGCGAAGGCAGCCACCUGGGCCAACACUGAUGCUCAGGCACGAAAGCGUGGGGAGCAAACAGG
rnacentral:rRNA from 1 species